UAUCGGAUUGAUACUAAGCCAUGCGAGUCAUUGUAGUAAUACAAGGCAGACGGCUCAGUAACGCGUAGUCAACCUACCCUAUGGACGGGAAUAACCUCGGGAAACUGAGUAUAAUGCCCGAUAGAACACUAUUCCUGGAAUGGUUUGUGUUCCAAAUGAUUUAUCGCCGUAGGAUGGGACUGCGGCCUAUCAGUUUGUUGGUGAGGUAAUGGCCCACCAAGACUAUUACAGGUACGGGCUCUGAGAGGAGUAGCCCGGAGAUGGGUACUGAGACACGGACCCAGGCCCUAUGGGGCGCAGCAGGCGAGAAAACUUUGCAAUGUGCGAAAGCACGACAAGGUUAAUCCGAGUGGUUUGUGCUAAACGAACCUUUUGACAGUCCUAGAAACACUGUUGAAUAAGGGGUGGGCAAGUUCUGGUGUCAGCCGCCGCGGUAAAACCAGCACCUCAAGUGGUCAGGAUGAUUAUUGGGCCUAAAGCAUCCGUAGCCGGCUCUGUAAGUUUUCGGUUAAAUCUGUACGCUCAACGUACAGGCUGCCGGGAAUACUGCAGAGCUAGGGAGUGGGAGAGGUAGACGGUACUCGGUAGGAAGGGGUAAAAUCCUUUGAUCUAUUGAUGACCACCUGUGGCGAAGGCGGUCUACCAGAACACGUCCGACGGUGAGGGAUGAAAGCUGGGGGAGCAAACCGGAUUAGAUACCCGGGUAGUCCCAGCUGUAAACUAUGCAAACUCAGUGAUGCAUUGGCUUGUGGCCAAUGCAGUGCUGCAGGGAAGCCGUUAAGUUUGCCGCCUGGGAAGUACGUACGCAAGUAUGAAACUUAAAGGAAUUGGCGGGGGAGCACCACAAGGGGUGAAGCCUGCGGUUCAAUUGGAGUC
rnacentral:rRNA from 1 species